GAUGAACGCUGGCGGCGCGCCUAACACAUGCAAGUCGAACGAUUAAAGCACCUUCGGGUGUGUAUAAAGUGGCGAACGGCUGAGUAACACGUGGGCAAUCUGCCCCUUUCAUUGGGAUAGCCACGGGAAACCGUGGAUAAUACCGAAUACUUCGAGACUUCCGCAUGGAAGACUCGAGAAAGCUCCGGCGGAGAGGGAUGGGCCCGCGGCCUGUUAGCUUGUUGGUGGGGUAACGGCCUACCAAGGCAAUGAUGGGUAGCUGGGUUGAGAGACCGACCAGCCAGAUUGGGACUGAGACACGGCCCAGACUCCUACGGGAGGCAGCAGUGGGGAAUCUUGCACAAUGGGCGAAAGCCUGAUGCAGCGACGCCGCGUGCGGGAUGAAGGCCUUCGGGUUGUAAACCGCUUUCAGCAGGGACGAGGCGAAAGUGACGGUACCUGCAGAAGAAGCCCCGGCUAACUACGUG
rnacentral:rRNA from 1 species